CAAAAUACACUUACUUCACGUGACUUCCCUCCAGAGCUGCUCAUCCUUGCCCCUCGUCUCGCCUGUCUCUCCCCGACCCGUCCCUCUCCCUCAUUCUUUCUGUCCUCUGUUCCCUCCCCAAACCCUAGAUCCACAGGAAGUGGCGGUGCUCACCGGCCACACCUGCGGGCGGCGCCAGCCUGAAGAAGGCCCGUGGCUGUGAGGGCCACCAAAGAAGAAGAAAAAGACCAUCAAAUCAUCUGAGAUAUUAUGCCUUUCCAUGGUGAUGAACUACCAGUAUUAUCCAUGUCUUUUCCACCUAGCCAAAGCUUGGAAUCUGCAGCUGUGAGAAAGGGAAAAAUAGCCAACCCAGCAUCUACAGGUUCCAAAAGGUCAAGAAGUGGCUCAAAUCAGCUUGAGCCCAUUCCUGUGUCUAGUGAGCAAACAUCUCAGCAGCCAAUUGCACCUGUGAAGGCAAAGGUCAAAAGGAAAAGGAAGCAACCAGCUAAAAAACAAGGAAAGAAUCUGCGCGCUAUCAUUUGAUGGUUCAGCAAUGUGCACAAGAAGCAAAAAAGGGCAGACCCGACUAGUCCUGCAAUGAGCACAAGAAGUAAAAAAAGGCUUAACUUAUAAUUUGCAUAUGCCUUUCUUUUGAACCAAAUGUGGUGUAUGUGAACCUAUUGUAAUGUUGGCUUGGUUGUGUGUAUCUAUGAACUUGAUUGUAAGGUAUGCAUGUGAUCCUUUCUGUAGGUUUGAAUUGCUCAUGUGAACCUUAUGUACUGUUUGAAAUUAUCACCUUGUUGUGAACCUUUCUUUUGUGCAAUGUUCAUGCUGGAUUUUGGAAUGA